rnacentral:rRNA from 1 species
UGGGGAAUUUUGGACAAUGGGCGAAAGCCUGAUCCAGCAAUGCCGCGUGUGUGAAGAAGGCCUUCGGGUUGUAAAGCACUUUUGUCCGGAAAGAAAUCCUUGGCUCUAAUACAGUCGGGGGAUGACGGUACCGGAAGAAUAAGCACCGGCUAACUACGUGCCAGCAGCCGCGGUAAUACGUAGGGUGCAAGCGUUAAUCGGAAUUACUGGGCGUAAAGCGUGCGCAGGCGGUUUGCUAAGACCGAUGUGAAAUCCCCGGGCUCAACCUGGGAACUGCAUUGGGUGACUGGCAGGCUAGAGUAUGGCAGAGGGGGGUAGAAUUCCACGUGUAGCAGUGAAAUGCGUAGAGAUGUGGAGGAAUACCGAUGGCGAAGGCAGCCCCCUGGGCCAAUACUGACGCUCAUGCACGAAAGCGUGGGGAGCAAACAGGAUUAGAUACCCUGGUAGUCCACGCCCUAAACGAUGUCAACUAGUUGUUGGGGAUUCAUUCCUUAGUAACGUAGCUAACGCGUGAAGUUGACCGCCUGGGGAGUACGGUCGCAAGAUUAAAACUCAAAUGAAUUGACGGGGUCAUAGCUGUUUCCU